ensembl:snoRNA small nucleolar RNA SNORA13
UGCCUUUAUGUGUUGCCCUUUCACUAGCUUGUAAUGGUGGAUGUGGUGUCAGCAAAGGCAGACAUUAAACUUGUUCGAGACUUCAGUGUCACUAAUUGUGAUGACACAAUGGGACUUGAAACAAGAACAUUU